CGUAACUAUAACGGUCCUAAGGUAGCGAAAUUCCUUGUCGGGUAAGUUCCGACCUGCACGAAUGGCGUAAUGAUGGCCAGGCUGUCUCCACCCGAGACUCAGUGAAAUUGAACUCGCUGUGAAGAUGCAGUGUACCCGCGGCAAGACGGAAAGACCCCGUGAACCUUUACUAUAGCUUGACACUGAACAUUGAGCCUUGAUGUGUAGGAUAGGUGGGAGGCUUUGAAGUGUGGACGCCAGUCUGCAUGGAGCCGACCUUGAAAUACCACCCUUUAAUGUUUGAUGUUCUAACGUGGACCCGUAAUCCGGGUUGCGGACAGUGUCUGGUGGGUAGUUUGACUGGGGCGGUCUCCUCCUAAAGAGUAACGGAGGAGCACGAAGGUUGGCUAAUCCUGGUCGGACAUCAGGAGGUUAGUGCAAUGGCAUAAGCCAGCUUGACUGCGAGCGUGACGGCGCGAGCAGGUGCGAAAGCAGGUCAUAGUGAUCCGGUGGUUCUGAAUGGAAGGGCCAUCGCUCAACGGAUAAAAGGUACUCCGGGGAUAACAGGCUGAUACCGCCCAAGAGUUCAUAUCGACGGCGGUGUUUGGCACCUCGAUGUCGGCUCAUCACAUCCUGGGGCUGAAGUAGGUCCCAAGGGUAUGGCUGUUCGCCAUUUAAAGUGGUACGCGAGCUGGGUUUAGAACGUCGUGAGACAGUUCGGUCCCUAUCUGCCGUGGGCGCUGGAGAACUGAGGGGGGCUGCUCCUAGUACGAGAGGACCGGAGUGGACGCAUCACUGGUGUUCGGGUUGUCAUGCCAAUGGCACUGCCCGGUAGCUAAAUGCGGAAGAGAUAAGUGCUGAAAGCAUCUAAGCACGAAACUUGCCCCGAGAUGAGUUCUCCCUGACUCCUUGAGAGUCCUGAAGGAACGUUGAAGACGACGACGUUGAUAGGCCGGGUGUGUAAGCGCAGCGAUGCGUUGAGCUAACCGGUACUAAUGAACCGUGAGGCUUAACCUU
rnacentral:rRNA from 1 species